AGUGAACGCUGGCGGUAGGCCUAACACAUGCAAGUCGAACGGCAGCACAGUAAGAGCUUGCUCUUACGGGUGGCGAGUGGCGGACGGGUGAGGAAUACAUCGGAAUCUACUUUUUCGUGGGGGAUAACGUAGGGAAACUUACGCUAAUACCGCAUACGACCUACGGGUGAAAGCAGGGGAUCUUCGGACCUUGCGCGAUUGAAUGAGCCGAUGUCGGAUUAGCUAGUUGGCGGGGUAAAGGCCCACCAAGGCGACGAUCCGUAGCUGGUCUGAGAGGAUGAUCAGCCACACUGGAACUGAGACACGGUCCAGACUCCUACGGGAGGCAGCAGUGGGGAAUAUUGGGCAAUGGGCGAAAGCCUGAUCCAGCCAUACCGCGUGGGUGAAGAAGGACUUCGGGUUGUAGAGCCCUUUUGUUGGGAAAGAAAAGCAGCAGGUUAAUACCCCGCUGUUCUGACGGUACCCAAAGAAUAAGCACCGGCUAACUUCGUG
rnacentral:rRNA from 1 species